rnacentral:misc_RNA from 1 species
GAAAUGCGAUAAGUAAUGUGAAUUGCAGAAUUCCGUGAAUCAUCGAAUCUUUGAACGCACAUUGCGCCCUCUGGCAUUCCGGGGGGCAUGCCUGUCCGAGCGUCAUUACGCACCCUCAAGCCCGGCUUGUGUGAUGGGCCCCGGCGAGACGGAUCGUGUUCUCAGCGUUGUGGUCAAAAAGCCGCUGGCGAGACGAGACGCCUGUGCCGUUAAACAACCCAUCUUCGCAAGGUUGACCUCGGAUCAGGUAGGGAUACCCGCUGAACUUAAGC